CAGGGGAAUGCCGAAAACCCUUUUGCAACAGAGUAGGCG
rnacentral:ncRNA from 1 species